rnacentral:rRNA from 1 species
UACGGAGGAUGCGAGCGUUAUCCGGAUUUACUGGGUUUAAAGGGUGCGUAGGCGGGUCUAUAAGUCAGUGGUGAAAGUCUGUCGCUUAACGAUAGGAUUGCCAUUGAAACUGUAGGUCUUGAGUACAAUUGAGGCAGGCGGAAUGUGCAGUGUAGCGGUGAAAUGCUUAGAUAUUGCACAGAACACCGAUUCCGAAGGGAGCUUGCUAAGUUGUCACUGACGCUGAGUCACGAAAGCGUGGGGAUCAAACAGG